CCUACGGGAGGCAGCAGUGGGGAAUCUUCCGCAAUGGGCGAAAGCCUGACGGAGCAACGCCGCGUGAGUGAAGAAGGCCUUCGGGUCGUAAAACUCUGUCUUCAGGGAAGAAAAAAAUGACGGUACCUGAGGAGGAAGCCCCGGCUAACUACGUGCCAGCAGCCGCGGUAAUA
rnacentral:rRNA from 1 species